CUUGAUGGAGCCCAGCCACAGCGGCCGGUCCGCCGGCCGGUCGCGGCCGUAGGUGGCGAUCAGCGCCUCGGCCUC
rfam:Streptomyces albus subsp. albus strain NRRL B-2513 B2513contig75.1, whole genome shotgun sequence.